UACGGAGGGUGCGAGCGUUGUCCGGAAUCACUGGGCGUAAAGGGCGCGUAGGCGGCUUGAUAAGGUUGCGGUGAAAGCCCGGGGCUCAACCCCGGGUCGGCCGUGGCAACUGUCGAGCUGGAGCACUGUAGAGGCAGGUGGAAUUCCGGGUGUAGCGGUGGAAUGCGUAGAGAUCCGGAAGAACACCGGUGGCGAAGGCGGCCUGCUGGGCAGUGGCUGACGCUGAGGCGCGAAAGCGUGGGGAGCGAACAGG
rnacentral:rRNA from 1 species